AUUGAACGCUGGCGGCAGGCCUAACACAUGCAAGUCGAGCGAGAGGAGGACGGGUGAGUAAUGUCUGGGAAACUGCCUGAUGGAGGGGGAUAACUACUGGAAACGGUAGCUAAUACUGCAUACCAUCAGAUGUGCGCAGAUGGGAUUAGCGAGUAGGUGGGGUAACGGCGCACCUGGGCGACGAUCCCUAGCUGGUCUGAGAGGAUGACCAGCCACACGGGAACUGAGACACGGUCCAGACUCCUACGGGAGGCAGCAGUGGGGGAUAUUGCACAAUGGGCGCAAGCCUGAUGCAGCCAUGCCGCGUGUGUGAAGAAGGCCUUCGGGUUGUAAAGCUCUUUCAGCGGGGAGGCGUUACCCGCAGAAGAAGCACCGGCUAACUCCGUGCCAGCAGCCGCGGUAAUAC
rnacentral:rRNA from 1 species